UAUUUCCAUCGAUAUUUCCGUGUUUUCGGACUACCGAUAUUUCCGAUAUUACCGAUAUUUUCUUCCUUGGUUAUAACCAUCCGCCCAUUUAAAUUUCACAGUUACAAUUAUAGGUAACUGUUUAGAUAAAUAAACGGUUAUGGGUAUAACCGUUUAUCCACGAAAUUUAAAUAGACAGUUAUGGGUAUUAUCUGCGGUUAUAAACGGUUAACCAUUUACACAAAUCAUGUUCCCUAUCAAACAAAACUUAGAUCAAUGCUAUUGACUAUAGUGCAUGACUAGUAAUAAGCCCGCGCGAUGCCCCGGGAGUUGAAUGCACCAGCCUUAAUUACAUGAAUAAGACAUAUUUAAUCCGAAAAACAUUCAACAUAAUCAUGAACGAACAAAAAAGAUAGAUCUAGGAAAUUAUAAAAAGCAUUGUAACCGUAGAUCCAAUAAAUUAUAAAAAUCCAUCCAAUCAAGAGACUAAUAGUUGUGGGAAGGUGGGUAUGCAACCAAGAAUCUUAAGAUAUACUUGACUUGCAAUUCCAUUAUAAUUUCACACAAAAAAAAAAGGAUCAAAUUGCAGGGUUGACUUAACGGGUUAGGUUGAACCCGACCCAAACCCAAUAAACCCGAUCCGUUUACAGGUCUAAUUGCAGGGUUGACUUGUAAAGAGUGAAUGAAGUCCUGAAAACACAAAGAAUAAAAAGCCUCUGUUUCAAUUAACUAAAAAAAAGCAAACCAUAAACAAAGUGAGAUAUCUGGUAACCAAAAAAUGAAUCUUGGAAAAUAGACAUAAACAAACUUCAAUCAAAAUUACUUUAAUACAUUUGGAUAUCAAGGAAAAUUAAAUUUAUUCAAUUUCGAUAUAAAAAAAAUAAUUAAUGCAGGAACAACAUUUGUGCCUCAAUGACGUGAGAAGUACUCAAAACAAACAUUGUUUUCUUUAAGUCUUUAGUCUAUCUCUGCAAAUCGCAAUAACUCAUAUCCAUUGAGAAUCAAAUUAACUAAUUAACUUACUAACCCGUCCUGUAAAUUUCACAUCUAUGCUCUAAACAGAUUUUGUAACUAAUAUCCCAAAAAAGUGGCAAAAGGGAAGGAAAAAAACUUUUGUAUGGUACCCUGCAGUGUUAUUUGUGUAACCAAAGUCAAGCGCUGAAACGCCAGCAACCUCAUUGUAUUCUUGGAAAUCUAUUGUAGAUUUUAUGGCUCCAAAAGAAAAUAUAUCCUUCAGCAUUAAUACCAUUUAGACUGAAGUAUUUUUUUCCAAGUGAAUACACAUGCAAAGUAUCAAAAAGAGAGAAAGGAGAAAAAAUUAUCAAAAUAAGAAUUACAAACCUGUCCUAUAAUAUAAACAAAAGGCAAUUACAGAAAAAUAGCUGGAAAACACAACAU
rnacentral:lncRNA from 1 species